rnacentral:miRNA from 1 species
AAUGAAGAGAUAGCAUUGCUGGUU